rnacentral:rRNA from 1 species
AUUUUCCCGGUUGAUCCUGCCGGACCCGACUGCUAUCAGAAUAGGACUAAGCCAUGCGAGUCAACGUACACAUAGUAGCAAUACUAUGUGUUCGUGGCAUACGGCUCAGUAACACGUAGUCAACAUGCCCAGGGGACGUGGAUAACCUCGGGAAACUGAGGAUAAACCGCGAUAGGUCAUAAUGUCUGGAAUGAUUUAUGGCUGAAAUCUACAUGGCCUCUGGAUUGGACUGCGGCCGAUCAGGCUGUUGGUGAGGUAAUGGCCCACCAAACCUAAAACCGGUACGGGCUCUGAGAGGAGGAGCCCGGAGAUGGGCACUGAGACAAGGGCCCAGGCCCUAUGGGGCGCAGCAGGCGCGAAACCUCUGCAAUAGGCGAAAGCUUGACAGGGUUAUUCUGAGUGGUUUCCGCUAAGGAAAUCUUUUGGCACCUCUAAAAAUGGUGCAGAAUAAGGGGUGGGCAAGCCUGGUGUCAGCCGCCGCGGUAAUACCAGCACCCCGAGUGGUCGGGACGAUUAUUGGGCCUAAAGCAUCCGUAGCCGGUUCUGCAAGUCUUCCGUUAAAUCCACCUGCUCAACAGUUGGGCUGCGGAGGAUACUAUAGAGCUAGGAGGCGGGAGAGGCAAGCGGUACUUAGUGGGUAGGGGUAAAAUCCGUUGAUCCACUGAAGACCACCAGUGGCGAAGGCGGCUUGCCAGAACGCGCUCGACGGUGAGGGAUGAAAGCUGGGGGAGCAAACCGGAUUAGAUACCCGGGUAGUCCCAGCUGUAAACGAUGCAGACUCGGUGAUGGACUAGCUUCAUGCUAGUCCAGUGCCGCAGGGAAGCCGUUAAGUCUGCCGCCUGGGUAGUACGGUCGCAAGACUGAAACUUAAAGGAAUUGGCGGGAAAU